AGCCCGGUGGUGUAGCGGACAAGCAUGAGCUUAAUAAAGCUCAUUGAAUUGCGGGCUUUGGACCCGCCGACGGGAGAUAAUUCCUGAAUUCGAAUCUCCCCCGGGCUACCA
rnacentral:tRNA from 1 species